rnacentral:rRNA from 1 species
UGGGGAAUAUUGGACAAUGGAGGAAACUCUGAUCCAGCAAUUCUGUGUGUGUGAAGAAGGUUUUAGGACUGUAAAACACUUUUAGUAGGGAAGAAAAAAAUGACGGUACCUACAGAAGAAGCAACGGCUAAAUACGUGCCAGCAGCCGCGGUAAUACGUAUGUUGCGAGCGUUAUCCGGAAUUAUUGGGCUUAAAGGGCAUCUAGGCGGUAAGACAAGUUGAAGGUGAAAACCUGUGGCUCAACCAUAGGCUUGCCUACAAAACUGUUGAACUAGAGUACUGGAAAGGUGGGUGGAACUACACGAGUAGAGGUGAAAUUCGUAGAUAUGUGUAGGAAUGCCGAUGAUGAAGAUAACUCACUGGACAGAAACUGACGCUGAGGUGCGAAAGCUAGGGGAGCAAACAGG